rnacentral:misc_RNA from 1 species
CUCCCUCCAGAAUUUAAACUCUAUCUUCCGAUGCAGAAAGUAUGAAAAGUUCCAGGCUUUAGAAUCACCACAUCUAAAUGAGCUAGAGUUGGAGCUGGAUUGAGUUUUCUUCUGUUUUAUAUUAUUAAUAGAGAGAGAGAGAGAGAGAGAGAGAGAGAGAGAGAGAGAGAGAGAGAGAGAGAGAGGCCAGACAUCACUUCUGGAAUUUUGUCUCUCUCUCUCUCUCUCUCUCUCU